rnacentral:tRNA from 1 species
GCUUUGGUAGCUCAACUGGUAGAGCACAGAACUGAAGAUUCUGGGGAAAGGGUUCAAGUCCUUUCCGAAGCA